GACGAACGCUGGCGGCGUGCUUAACACAUGCAAGUCGAACGGAAAGGCCCUUCGGGGUACUCGAGUGGCGAACGGGUGAGUAACACGUGGGUGAUCUGCCCUGCACUUUGGGAUAAGCCUGGGAAACUGGGUCUAAUACCGAAUACGAUCACUGGCUUCAUGGUUGGUGGUGGAAAGCUUUUGCGGUGUGGGAUGGGCCCGCGGCCUAUCAGCUUGUUGGUGGGGUAAUGGCCUACCAAGGCGACGACGGGUAGCCGGCCUGAGAGGGUGACCGGCCACACUGGGACUGAGAUACGGCACAGAGUCCUACGGGAGGCAGCAGUGGGGAAUAUUGCACAAUGGGCGCAAGCCUGAUGCAGCGAGGCCGCGUGAGGGAUGACGGCCUUCGGGUUGUAAACCUCUUUCAGCAGGGACGAAGCGCAAGUGACGGUACCUGCAGAAGAAGGACCGGCCAACUACGUGCCAGCCGCCGCAGUAACAC
rnacentral:rRNA from 1 species